rnacentral:lncRNA from 1 species
CUCUCUCUCUCUUCCUCCCCCUCCCUCCAGGUGACUGAUUUAUGUACACAUCGAAAGUCUAAUAUUCUCCCAAGUUAAAGACUACAAAACUUUUCCAAUCGGGAGGAAGGAAGCCUCGGAACUUGGAGAGAAAAAAAGGAAAGAAAGAGGAAAAAUCCCCGGAGAGGGCAGCUAAGGGGCUGCGCGGGCUCGUGCAGGGAGCCACCGGGAAAGGAGACAGGGAGAGAGCCGGCCUCUGGCUCUCGCAGUGUCCGCUUUGGCCGGUUUUUCUUCCUCCACCACCACCAGCAGCACCGGCACCGGUAGUUCGGUGGUAGCCGCCGUCUCCUCUCUACAGCGGCAGCCGCUCCCGGUGUUUCUCUCUUCCCUAUCAACUCCAGGCGUCCAGGCGCCGCUGGAGAGAGGACAGGGGAGCAGACCGCACACGGCCCACAAAAUAUAGGCAAAAAGGCCGAGAGAAGAAAAAGGAGAAAAGUUCAAGGAUGCAGCCAAAAGUUUUGGAACACUAUUUGGCUGUUUGAUUUUUAAGU